rnacentral:sRNA from 1 species
GCUGGGUGCAGUGUGCACACCUGUAAUCCCAGUAGCUUGGGAGGCUGAGACAGGAGGAUCUCGAGUUCAAAGCUAGCCUCAGCAACUUAGCAAGGCCCUAAACAAUUCAGUGAGACCCUGUCUCUA